rnacentral:tRNA from 1 species
GACAAUGUGGUGUAGUGGUUUGAGCAUUAGACUACAGCUCUGAAGAUCAGGGUUCAAUCCCCUGUUUAGCCA